rnacentral:rRNA from 1 species
ACUACUACAUGGAUAACCGUGGUAAUUCUAUGGCUAAUACAUGCGCAAAUACUAUAUCUUUACGAUAUAGUAGUGUUUAUUAGAUACAGAACCAACACGCUCCUUUUUGGGGGUGUCAAAGUUAGGUGAUUCAUAGUAACCGAACGGAUCGCAUUAUGAUCAUAUUCUUAUGAUUGGCGAUAGAUCAUUCAAGUUUCUGACCUAUCAGCUUUCGACGGUAGUGUAUUGGACUACCGUGGCAGUGA